GGGCGAUAGACCAAUCGAACCAUCUAGUAGCUGGUUCCCUCCGAAAUAUCCCUCAGGAUCGCGGACACUCCUCACAGUUUCAUCACGUAGGGAGAAUGAUUGGAGGUUUCGGGGACGCGGCGUCCUCGACCUACUCUCAAACUUCAAAGUGGUGAGAUAAAUAUGCUACGGGCGUUUGGGUUGAGCAUAUUGGGGAAUGUGUGAGAGUGUCCAGUGGGCCAUUUUUGGUAAGCAGAACUGGCGAUCCGGGAUGAACCGAGAGUCGAGUUAAGGUGCCAAAGUGAGAUGUAAUUGAAUCCACUAAAGGUGUCGGUCAAUGUAGACAGCAGGGCGGUGGCCAUGGAAGUCGGCAUCCGCUAAGGAGUGUGUAUCAACUCACCUGCCCAAUUGACCGGUCCUGAAAAUGGAUGGCGCUUAAUUUUUCGACCGAUACUCGGCCGUCAAAUCUGACCAAUUUGACGGGUAGGGGGGCACAACGGUUGCUGAGAAGAGUUAACGUGAGUUGACUUGGAGCGGCCGUUGGAGCUGAUCUUGGUGGUAGUAGCAACUAUUCGGGUGGGAACCUCGAAGUCCGAGGUGGAGACGGGUUCCAUGCCGAUUGCAGUAAGGCAUGGGUUAGUCGAUCCUAAGUGACUCCCGAAGGGGUUAAAUGACAGGCAUCGGGUUGACUGUUAGUCACGAAAGGGAACCAGGUUAAUAUUCCUGGACCAAGUCAAGGGACUUUGGCGAUUGAUUUGCAGAGUGUUCGCGCACUUUGUAAUAUUGGUCGUCAAUUAGCGGUAACGCGUGCGAACCGGGGUACGUCGGAAGUAGCCAGAGGAAGAGUUAUCUUUUCUUCAUAACGAACUAUUGACCAUGGAAACGAGUUAG
rnacentral:rRNA from 1 species